UAGUCCACGCCGUAAACGAUGGAUACUAGCUGUCCGGUGUCUUGAACACUGGGCGGCCAAGCGAAAGUGAUAAGUAUCCCACCUGGGGAGUACGUUCGCAAGAAUGAAACUCAAAGGAAUUGACGGGGGCCUGCACAAGCGGUGGAGCAUGUGGUUUAAUUCGAAGCAACGCGCAGAACCUUACCAGCCUUUGACAUCCUAGGACGGUUUCUGGAGACAGAUUCCUUCCCUUCGGGGACCUAGUGACAGGUGCUGCGUGGCUGUCGUCAGCUCGUGUUGUGAGAUGUUGGGUUAAGUCCCGCAACGAGCGCAACCCUCGCCGUUAGUUACCAUCAUUAAGUUGGGCACUCUAACGGGACCGCUAGGCUAUAAGCCAGAGGAAGGUGGGGAUGACGUCAAGUCCUCAUGGCCUUUAUGUCCAGGGCUACACACGUGCUACAAUGGGAAGGACAAAGCGCUCGCAAGCUCGCGAGAGCAAGCAAAUCGCAAAAACCUUUCCUCAGUUCGGAGUUGG
rnacentral:rRNA from 1 species